rnacentral:ncRNA from 1 species
CUUAAUUUGACUCAACACGGGAAAACUCACCCGGUCCGGACACUAUUAGGACUGACAGAUUGAAAGCUCUUUCUCGAUUUGGUGGUUGGUGGUGCAUGGCCGUUCUUAGUUGGUGGAGUGAUUUGUCUGGUUUAUUCCGAUAACGAGCGAGACUCUAGCCUGCUAAAUAGUCGACGAAUCUUCGGGUUCGUAUAACUUCUUAGAGGGAUAAGCGGUGUUUAGCCGCACGAGAUUGAGCGAUAACAGGUCUGUGAUGCCCUUAGAUGUCCGGGGCUGCACGCGUGCUACACUGGUGGAGUCAGCGGGUUUUUCCUAUGCCGAAAGGUAUCGGUAAACCGUUGAACUUCUUCCAUGUCCGGGAUAGGGUAUUGUAAUUAUUACCCUUAAACGAGGAAUGCCUAGUAAGUGUGAGUCAUCAGCUCACGUUGAUUACGUCCCUGCCCUUUGUACACACCGCCCGUCGCUAUCCGGGACUGAACUGAUUCGAGAAGAGUGGGGACUGUGGCUGCGAGGUUUUACCACUUCGCAGUUGCGGAAACCAUUUUUAUCGCAUUGGUUUGAACCGGGUAAAAGUCGUAACAAGGUAGCUGUAGGUGAACCUGCAGCUGGAUCAUCG